rnacentral:rRNA from 1 species
GACGAACGCUGGCGGCGUGCUUAACACAUGCAAGUCGAACGGAAAGGCCCUGCUUUUGUGGGGUGCUCGAGUGGCGAACGGGUGAGUAACACGUGAGUAACCUGCCCUUGACUUUGGGAUAACUUCAGGAAACUGGGGCUAAUACCGGAUAGGAGCUCCUGCUGCAUGGUGGGGGUUGGAAAGUUUCGGCGGUUGGGGCUGGACUCGCGGCUUAUCAGCUUGUUGGUGGGGUAGUGGCUUACCAAGGCUUUGACGGGUAGCCGGCCUGAGAGGGUGACCGGCCACAUUGGGACUGAGAUACGGCGCAGACUGCUACGGGAGGCAGCAGUGGGGAAUAUUGCACAAUGGGCGGAAGCCUGAUGCAGCAACGCCGCGUGCGGGAUGACGGCCUUCGGGUUGUAAACCGCUUUCGACUGUGACGAAGCGUGAGUGACGGUAAUGGGUAAAGAAGCACCGGCUAACUACGUG